UACGUAGGGUGCAAGCGUUGUCCGGAAUUAUUGGGCGUAAAGAGCUCGUAGGCGGUCUGUUGCGUCGGCUGUGAAAACCCGAGGCUCAACCUCGGGCCUGCAGUCGAUACGGGCAAACUAGAGUACUGCAGGGGAGACUGGAAUUCCUGGUGUAGCGGUGAAAUGCGUAGAUAUCUGGAGGAACACCGGUGGCGAAGGCGGCAUCCUGGACCGACACUGACGCUGAUGAGCGAAAGCCAGGGGAGCAAACGGG
rnacentral:rRNA from 1 species